rnacentral:lncRNA from 1 species
UUCUUUCUUUUGUUUCACCUCGAUCCCAAGAUAGUAAGCCAUAAGUUCAGUGCCGGUCAUCUCGAACUCCCGAACCAUUGCUUUCUUUAACUCCUCGAACAUUUUGGGAUUACUACCGGUGAAUAUCAAGUCAUCCACGUAUAAGCACACAAGAUAACAUCUCCAUCCUUGCUUACUUUGGUGUAGAGGGCAUGCUCAUGUGGGCAUUUUGUAAAG